UCCGUUAUGGUGUAUCGGCUAGCAUCCGUCGCUUUCAUCCGCUUUCGAGCUAGUGUCAGCCUCCGACGAGAGCCGGGUUCGAUUCCCGGUAACGGAA
rnacentral:tRNA from 1 species